CUGUGAGCACUUGUAUGGUACUCAUUUUUAUCAUUGAAGCCUUAAAAUUUUCGUAGAAAAGAGUCUGGUUACUGCUGAAGCUGUUGACGAUGGGAAUGGUAUCUGCACCAAUGGUGGAAAACAACUCCUGAUCACUUCGAAGCAAGCCAUUUUGAAGUUGAAGAUUGGAGUAGUAGUUAGAGUCAAGUCUAUCAGGUGUGCUUAGGUCCAAGUUUGUGAGAUUGGUUCCAGGUCCACCAUUGGGGCAAAUUGCUCGAAGUGCUUGUAACAGGGUUGUGUUAAGAGUUGGGUCAGGGUUUCC
rnacentral:lncRNA from 1 species